rnacentral:rRNA from 1 species
CCUACGGGAGGCAGCAGUAGGGAAUCUUCCACAAUGGGCGAAAGCCUGAUGGAGCAACGCCGCGUGGGUGAAGAAGGUCUUCGGAUCGUAAAACCCUGUUGUUAGAGAAGAAAGUGCGUGAGAGUAACUGUUCACGUUUCGACGGUAUCUAACCAGAAAGCCACGGCUAACUACGUGCCAGCAGCCGCGGUAAUACGUAGGUGGCAAGCGUUAUCCGGAUUUAUUGGGCGUAAAGGGAACGCAGGCGGUCUUUUAAGUCUGAUGGGAAAGCCUUCGGCUUAACCGGAGUAGUGCAUUGGAAACUGGGAGACUUGAGUGCAGAAGAGGAUAGUGGAACUCCAUGUGUAGCGGUGAAAUGCGUAGAUAUAUGGAAGAACACCAGUGGCGAACGCGGCUCUCUGGUCUGUAACUGACGCUGAGGUUCGAAAGCGUGGGUAGCAAACAGGAUUAGAUACCCCAGUAGUC